GGUUCAGUGGUCUAAUGGUUAUGAUUUUCGUCUCACACACGAAAGGUUCCCGGUUCGAUCCCGGGCUGAACCA
rfam:Schizophyllum commune H4-8 unplaced genomic scaffold SCHCOscaffold_6, whole genome shotgun sequence.